rnacentral:rRNA from 1 species
GGGUUGUGAGGUUAAGCGACUAAGCGUACACGGUGGAUGCCCUGGCAGUCAGAGGCGAUGAAGGACGUGCUAAUCUGCGAUAAGCGUCGGUGAGGUGAUAUGAACCGUUAUAACCGGCGAUUUCCGAAUGGGGAAACCCAGUGUGUUUCGACACACUAUCAUUAACUGAAUCCAUAGGUUAAUGAGGCGAACCGGGGGAACUGAAACAUCUAAGUACCCCGAGGAAAAGAAAUCAACCGAGAUUCCCCCAGUAGCGGCGAGCGAACGGGGAGGAGCCCAGAGCCUGAAUCAGUGUGUGUGUUAGUGGAAGCGUCUGGAAAGGCGCGCGAUACAGGGUGACAGCCCCGUACACAAAAAUGCACAUAUUGUGAGCUCGAUGAGUAGGGCGGGACACGUGGUAUCCUGUCUGAAUAUGGGGGGACCAUCCUCCAAGGCUAAAUACUCCUGACUGACCGAUAGUGAACCAGUACCGUGAGGGAAAGGCGAAAAGAACCCCGGCGAGGGGAGUGAAAAAGAACCUGAAACCGUGUACGUACAAGCAGUGGGAGCCUCUUAAUGGGGUGACUGCGUACCUUUUGUAUAAUGGGUCAGCGACUUAUAUUCUGUAGCAAGGUUAACCGAAUAGGGGAGCCGAAGGGAAACCGAGUCUUAACUGGGCGUUAAGUUGCAGGGUAUAGACCCGAAACCCGGUGAUCUAGCCAUGGGCAGGUUGAAGGUUGGGUAACACUAACUGGAGGACCGAACCGACUAAUGUUGAAAAAUUAGCGGAUGACUUGUGGCUGGGGGUGAAAGGCCAAUCAAACCGGGAGAUAGCUGGUUCUCCCCGAAAGCUAUUUAGGUAGCGCCUCGUGAAUUCAUCUCCGGGGGUAGAGCACUGUUUCGGCAAGGGGGUCAUCCCGACUUACCAACCCGAUGCAAACUGCGAAUACCGGAGAAUGUUAUCACGGGAGACACACGGCGGGUGCUAACGUCCGUCGUGAAGAGGGAAACAACCCAGACCGCCAGCUAAGGUCCCAAAGUCAUGGUUAAGUGGGAAACGAUGUGGGAAGGCCCAGACAGCCAGGAUGUUGGCUUAGAAGCAGCCAUCAUUUAAAGAAAGCGUAAUAGCUCACUGGUCGAGUCGGCCUGCGCGGAAGAUGUAACGGGGCUAAACCAUGCACCGAAGCUGCGGCAGCGACACUAUGUGUUGUUGGGUAGGGGAGCGUUCUGUAAGCCUGUGAAGGUGUGCUGUGAGGCAUGCUGGAGGUAUCAGAAGUGCGAAUGCUGACAUAAGUAACGAUAAAGCGGGUGAAAAGCCCGCUCGCCGGAAGACCAAGGGUUCCUGUCCAACGUUAAUCGGGGCAGGGUGAGUCGACCCCUAAGGCGAGGCCGAAAGGCGUAGUCGAUGGGAAACAGGUUAAUAUUCCUGUACUUGGUGUUACUGCGAAGGGGGGACGGAGAAGGCUAUGUUGGCCGGGCGACGGUUGUCCCGGUUUAAGCGUGUAGGCUGGUUUUCCAGGCAAAUCCGGAAAACCAAGGCUGAGGCGUGAUGACGAGGCACUACGGUGCUGAAGCGACAAAUGCCCUGCUUCCAGGAAAAGCCUCUAAGCAUCAGGUAACAUCAAAUCGUACCCCAAACCGACACAGGUGGUCAGGUAGAGAAUACCAAGGCGCUUGAGAGAACUCGGGUGAAGGAACUAGGCAAAAUGGUGCCGUAACUUCGGGAGAAGGCACGCUGAUAUGUAGGUGAAGCGACUUGCUCGUGGAGCUGAAAUCAGUCGAAGAUACCAGCUGGCUGCAACUGUUUAUUAAAAACACAGCACUGUGCAAACACGAAAGUGGACGUAUACGGUGUGACGCCUGCCCGGUGCCGGAAGGUUAAUUGAUGGGGUUAGCGGUAACGCGAAGCUCUUGAUCGAAGCCCCGGUAAACGGCGGCCGUAACUAUAACGGUCCUAAGGUAGCGAAAUUCCUUGUCGGGUAAGUUCCGACCUGCACGAAUGGCGUAAUGAUGGCCAGGCUGUCUCCACCCGAGACUCAGUGAAAUUGAACUCGCUGUGAAGAUGCAGUGUACCCGCGGCAAGACGGAAAGACCCCGUGAACCUUUACUAUAGCUUGACACUGAACAUUGAGCCUUGAUGUGUAGGAUAGGUGGGAGGCUUUGAAGUGUGGACGCCAGUCUGCAUGGAGCCGACCUUGAAAUACCACCCUUUAAUGUUUGAUGUUCUAACGUGGGCCCCUAAUCGGGGUUGCGGACAGUGUCUGGUGGGUAGUUUGACUGGGGCGGUCUCCUCCUAAAGAGUAACGGAGGAGCACGAAGGUUGGCUAAUCCUGGUCGGACAUCAGGAGGUUAGUGCAAUGGCAUAAGCCAGCUUGACUGCGAGCGUGACGGCGCGAGCAGGUGCGAAAGCAGGUCAUAGUGAUCCGGUGGUUCUGAAUGGAAGGGCCAUCGCUCAACGGAUAAAAGGUACUCCGGGGAUAACAGGCUGAUACCGCCCAAGAGUUCAUAUCGACGGCGGUGUUUGGCACCUCGAUGUCGGCUCAUCACAUCCUGGGGCUGAAGUAGGUCCCAAGGGUAUGGCUGUUCGCCAUUUAAAGUGGUACGCGAGCUGGGUUUAGAACGUCGUGAGACAGUUCGGUCCCUAUCUGCCGUGGGCGCUGGAGAACUGAGGGGGGCUGCUCCUAGUACGAGAGGACCGGAGUGGACGCAUCACUGGUGUUCGGGUUGUCAUGCCAAUGGCACUGCCCGGUAGCUAAAUGCGGAAGAGAUAAGUGCUGAAAGCAUCUAAGCACGAAACUUGCCCCGAGAUGAGUUCUCCCUGAGACUUAGAGUCUCCUGAAGGAACGUUGAAGACGACGACGUUGAUAGGCCGGGUGUGUAAGCGCAGCGAUGCGUUGAGCUAACCGGUACUAAUGAACCGUGAGGUUUAACCUUACAACGCCGAAG